GCCGGAGGAAGGUGGGGAGUGACGUCAAGUCAUCAUGGCCCUUAUGUCCAGGGCGACACACGUGCUACAAUGGCCGGCACAGCGGGAAGCGGAGGGGCGACCCUGAGCGGAUCCCUUGAAAAGCCGGUCCCAGUUCGGAUUGCAGUCUGCAACUCGACUGCAUGAAGUUGGAAUCGCUAGUAAUCGCGGAUCAGCCAAGCCGCGGUGAAUACGUUCCCGGGCCUU
rnacentral:rRNA from 1 species